rnacentral:rRNA from 1 species
CCCUUAGAUGUCCUGGGCCGCACGCGCGCUACACUGAACGGAUCAGCGCGUUUUCCCUUCCCGAGAGGGACGGGUAACCUGCUGAACCCCGUUCGUGGUAGGGAUCGGGGCUUGCAAUUAUUCCCCGUGAACCAGGAAUGCCCAGUAAGUGCAAGUCAUAAGCUUGCGUUGAUUACGUCCCUGCCCUUUGUACACACCGCCCGUCGCUACUACCUAUUGAACGUUUUAGUGAGGUACUCGGACUGAGCCUCAGAAGAUUCACGUCUUUUGUGCUGCUCGGGAAGAUUCCCAAACUUGAGCGUUUAGAGGAAGUAAAAGUCGUAACA